GUUGAAUUUAAGCAGACUGGGCAGAGGAAGAAAGCCUCGGUUUUCUCUGUGCUCUGACUCAGGCUGGCCCUAGGCAAGUUACAUGGCAAAUGGAAACGUGGCCUCAAUGGACAAAGAACAUCGUUGCUAUUAUUCAUGGUACAUUAAAAUGAUUUUAGGAUGGAGAAUAGGGCAUUAACAUAGGACGUAGCCCUUAGAAAUUAAAAGCUUCAUAAGUGUAUUGCUGUGAUGGACAUCCCUUGCAUUUAUAGAGAUAAAUUAUGAUUGUUAUUAUGAUAUCAAUGCAGUGUGAUUAUUCCAACCUCCAAAUAGUGGUUGUACUUUGGAUUAUCAGUUUACGUUCAAAAGUCACAUUUUUCUUUAAUAUCCGAUGAUGAUUUCUUUAGGAUUAUGCGUUGUGGGUCAGAAUUUGAGCUUUUUCCGUUUUUCCUCUCACUUUCUAAAUUAAAUAUAAAAUGAGAGCAUGAUGGGGGAAUCAAGCUAUUUUCAGGUCGUAUUUGAAGAGCAGGUGUGUUCUCUCCUGAUUUACAGUGCAGGUGCAUUUUAAUUUAACUGCUUAAAAUGGUGAUUAAAAAGCUCUUCAAGUGGAACAAAGCAAAGUUUUAAAAAUGUCUUGUAACCAGUUGCUCUUAUUUUUUUUGUCCUGUUUUCUCACCACUUGACCUCAGUAUUGUGAAUUUCUGAAGCAGCCCCCUCCAAGAAUACUGCUCCAAAUAUGUGAAUUAUACUCAUUCAGUACGAUCCAGGCUUUAGGACAAUGCGGGGGGGUCACAGAGCCCUGGGUCUGUUCUUUGUCUAACAUGAUUCUAAGGCAGGGAAGGAUCCUCCCUGCUUUUGAACCCAGUGACAUAUUUCCAUUUGUCAUUGAACACCAGGGGGAGCAGAACCACGGACCCCAAAGUACCCCCCUUCCACCGUAGGCUCCUACCCUCUACCAGAGGAUUUGCUGCUCUUGGCUUUUAAGUGCCCUGAAUAUUUGAUGGUGAGAUGGAUCAUGCACCAUGUAACUAGUUAUCAGGCUUGUGUGGGUGUGUUUAGAGGGGUCUCCCCUUAGCUUGGCUUCAGGUCUUGGUGAUAGAAUCUAAAUAACACAGGUUACUCAUCACGAGUUGAAGAUUUUCCCCUUUUCACAUUGAUGCUGCUGAUACACUUUUAUACGUUGGCUGAUGGUGUGUGCGUACUUUGUGGCUGCCAAGAUGCAGCUGGAAAGUGUGUGGGGGUUGUCUGCUUCCUCUGAGGCUGCUCCAGGUGGUCAGGUGGGGGCGGCCGUGAUAAAGGUGCAGCCUCACUUCCGGCAGCUCGUCCUGGAAGUGCUCUAACCCACUGCCAGAGCCCACUUCUGCCCCCUGUUCUCUCCUCGCUGCUUUAACUUUGGCUGCUUCUGAUUUGCUGGCUGCAGGUUUAUGACUGAGAUUGUGGUUCAGAAUUAUCUUUUGGGGUAUGAAAAAAUCUCUCAGAUUACUUUGUGUUGCUAUUUCUCUUUCUUCUUUUGCCGUGGACUUUCUAGAUUUUGUAAAAAUGAAUCCUAGGAAAAAAAUCAUAGUAUCAUAUAAGAGUUAGAUAAAGAUGAGGUGGAUGUCAGAAUCUCUCAUUAGGGCAAAAAUAAAAUCAGUUUAUGUUCUUGGCAGACUGAGUACGUGCAAAUGCAUUUUCUGAUGGAAGCAGUGCUGGUUAUUGGGUCCAGAUAUGGAAAAGUCCAUUUCAGAACAUUGACAGAGAAUCACUGGUCUUGGAAGGGGUUCCUUUAUUCGGUCUGCCACUCACCUUCACGUGUCUUUUGAAUUUCUGCAUUGCAGUGUCCUCGGAGCUCGGAGAAAUGUGCGCUACCCUUGGUGGAGGUACCCUGGAAGGGAACUAGUGUUGAUUAAUAUGCUCGACACAGUGAUGGGAGCUUUACAUGAUGUUAUUCCAUCUUUGAGAAAACCUUAUAAAUGAGGUAAUAGUAUAGCUUUUUUAGAGGAAGAAGCAGAGGUUCAGAGACAUUGAGCACUUAAAGGAACCUGUGGUGAAGAGUCAGGCCUCUGCCUCUGAAACCAGUGCUCUCUGCAGGGUGUGGACUGCCUCUCACACUCGGUCAUGAAAAGAACAACUGGAUUUAGGGACAUCCGAUAAGUAUGAUGGAAGUUCGGGGGCAGGAGCUCUGGGUGCACCUGGAGGAGGCAGAGAAGACCCCCUGGCUGGGUGGGACUUCGAUCCGAGCCUUGACAAUGGGUAGGAUUUGUAUAGAGCAGCCAGGAGGAGAAAGGGUCUCCCACUCAGUACCAGCAGAGGGAGGACAAGGGUGACCACAGAGGGAGAAGGGGCACACUGCUUAGGUCACAGCGUGGGCCAGUCUAGCAGGGAGCCAUCAGAAGUUAGCACGGAACGAGUGCUCACUGUGCCAGGUACCAUUCCAAGUUCUUUACAUCUGCUACCUAUCCUAUCCUUCCAGCAGCCCUCUCAGGACGAUGUUGCCAAUUCUGUUGUAGGGUUGGAAGACUGAGGGUGGUUAAGGAAGGGGUGGCCCUGGGAUUCAAAGCCUUACCCCUCCUUACCAGGUGAUGAGGGUGGUGGAGAGGGACCUCAAAUUGUUGUGGACAGUGAUGGAAAGAUCAAAAUGCCAGGCGGGGGUGAUUGGAAGAACAAAAUGAUGGCCGCGAGGGAGUUCUCCUCUUGGCUCAGCAGUAGCAAACCCAGCUAGUAUCCGUGAGGAUGUGGGUUCGAUCCCUGGCCUCACUCAGUGGGUUAAGGAUCCAGUGUUGCUGUGAGCUGUGGUGUAGGUCACAGAUGCACAGCUCAGAUCCCGAGUUAUUAAGAAUCCAUCAAUCAACAGGCCUUGAGUGGUUGGAAUUGAAGAUGUCAGGAAGGCGCUAAGAUUUGGCGGCUGGGUUUUGUUAAUGCUCUUCAAGAAAUGAAUGCUUAUUUACAGGGUAGUAGCACAAGGGGAAGAAAUAAAGGCUUUUGAAUGGGUGAAAGAUGCAGUUAGAGACAUCACAUGCUAGAAAAAUCGUUUACUGGAGAGUGGGAAAUAAGGAGAGGAGCACGAGGGAGGGAAUAGGGAUGAUUUGGGGGUUAUCUGCCAGGAGAGAAUUGAUGCCCUGGGAACAGAGGAUUUCUCAGAGGGAGAAACCCAAAGCCUUGGGAAGUGCCCUUGGUCAAGCAGAGGAAGGAGAGGAGCCACAGCCAAGGAGGAAACAGGAGACGCAGCUAAACCAGGGGGAGAGAGGAUAAUUAAAAGAGAAAAUAAAAAGCUGCUGAGCACUGUCAGCUGCUGCAAAGAGGUCAAGGGGACAGAGAGGGAAAGGGGGGCCUGAGGUUUGACCAAGGGGAAGGCCAUUUGUACCUUGCACAGUAGGCCUGGUGGAAAUCCAGGGGAAGUGAAGUCCAGCCAGACUAAGAUGUUGGCGUUCUUCCUCAGUGGACUUUUUCGAAGCACUUAAUUUACAGACAGCUCAGCAUCACUGCAGAGGGGUGCUUCGUCAACACUACGGGGCUGCCUGAGACAGCAUUUUGUUACACUGAUCUGUCUGGUCUGGCAUUCAUUGUCUUUCAGUGCAUUCAUUUACAUGGUCCCUGGGUUUUGAAGGCGGAGGUGUGUAAUUCAUCACUGCCCACUGAAGACAUCAUUUGGGGGCUGGUUUGAUGAGCCCUUGAAGCAGAGCAGGUGAGGUAGAAGACUGUCCCUUGGGAACCAUGCUUUUGGUCACCCAGCUGCCCUCCGCUUCCCAGGGCCAUAGACUCAUUUAUUUCUCAGCCUCUUUUGAAUACACUGUUUGUUAUAAGGCAUCCAAAAAGUAUCAUAGCACCACCAUACCCUGGGCUUCUUUUCAUUUUAGGGCUCCCUUGUCAUAUAAAGUCCAAAUGAUAUGAAAAUAACCCAAUCUUCAGAAAUCCUCAAAGUACCAAAAUGUGUCAUAGAUCUUCCGAUGCUUUUGGUGAGAAUCCAGGAAUUCUCUGCCUCAACACCACAGCUGUGAAUUGUAAAGCAUUUCAUCCACCACCAUGGCAUUCACAGUUAUUUUUAUUUAAGCAGCCAGAUUUGGAAAUGCACCUCACUUUAGCAUUAGUUUAAAAAUUUCAGGGAGGAGAGGAGAAAUUUGCAUUUACAAAUGAUCAUGUUUUUUAUUUUAGCUUUUGGUUGGAAGCCUAUUUGGUUCUUUCUUCUUCCAGCCGGUUUUUCUUGGUAACUAUCACUUGGUGCAUUCUGAUUUUAGAAAAUAUGUCUCCGUGUGGGAAACUCAGAAGACCUAGGGGAAUAUAAACGCUUUCCCUGCCCGCCCCCCGCCCCCCGUGUAGAAUCCUGGUAAGUGAAACUUAAAAGAGAGCCCCCUCAGGAAAGUCAGACCCCAUCUCUGACCCCUUCGGCACUGGCUUCUCUUUCUUACUGCCUGUCUCUUGUUAGCAUCUUGACUCAGGAGCAUGAGAGGGGAGAAAAAUGAAAGGUCAACCUUGUUUCUUAUGCACAGUUUCAGCAUAAGUUUCACUGUCUUUAGUUGAACUCUUGAUCGUUGGUUUUUGGAGAUGUCUGGGGUUUCAUUUUUCCCCCAGUUCUCUUAGUUUUCACGUCUCAAUAUAAUCUAGAGUUCAUUGUUCAUCACGAGAGAACCUGCUUAAUCGUUUGCUUAGGUUAGAAAUCUGUUCAGAUUACCAGAAAGUUUUCUUCUAUUUGGGAUCUUCAGAGUUCGAUCAUAUUAACAUAGUCCAAAUACGUUUGCUAAGAUUUCGUCUUUCGUUAUUAAAGUUCCCAAAUAUAUUAUGGUGUUUUAUCAUUAUGAACAUCAACUCUCAUUGUUUAGAACUGUGCUUCCUUAACUGUUUUAUUUUUUUUAUUUCUUUGGGGUGAGGUUUCUGCUUUAUUUUAAGUGUGGUUGCCAUACAAUAUUAUAUGUUACAGGUAUGCAAUACAGUGAUUCACAAGUUUUAAAGGAUAUACUUCAUUUAUAGUUAUAAAACAUUGGCUGUAUUCCGUCUGUUGUAUACUAUAUCCUUGUAGCCUUUUUUUUUUUUUUUUGGCCACACCCACAACAUAUGAAAAUUCCUGGGUCAGGGAUCGAACCCACCCCACAGCAGCAACCUGAGCCACUGCAGUGAUAAGGCUGAAUCUUUAACCUGCUGAGCCACAUGGGAACUCCCCCUUGGAGCAUAUUUUAUUUUUUAAAUGAUUUUUUAUUUUUUUCCAUUAUAGCUAGUUUACAGUAUUCUGUCAAUUUUCUACUGUACACAAGGUGACCCAGUCACACAUACACAUAUACAUUCUUUUUUCUUACAUUAUCAUGCUCCAUCAUAAGUGACUAGAUAUAGUUCCCAGUGGCUUAAUUGUUUUAGAGUCAUGGACUGAUAGUUUUAUAAAAUACAGUAGAAAUGAAUUCCUAGAAAAAUGAAAUUUAAAAGACAUCAAAACAAAAGCCUAAGAUUUUUAAAAAUGAUUACAUUAAACAAACAUACAAUUACUCUGACAAACUGCUCUAAAGUCUCUAAACACUACUCCCAAUUUCCCUUCUUUUCUAUUUUUAAGGGCCGCACCCAUGGCAUAUGGAAGUACCCAGGCUAGGAGUCAAAUUGGAGCUGUAGCCACCAGCUUACAUCACAGCCACAGCAAUACCAGAUCUGAGCCAUGUCUAUGACCUUCACCACAGCUCAUGGCAAUGCAGGAUCCUUGACCCACUGAGCAAGACAGGGAUUGAACCUGCAUCCUCAUGGAUACCAGUCAGAUUCGUUUCCACCGUGCCACAAUGAGAACUCCUACUCCCAGUUUCUGUACUGGGUCCAGGGCUGGUCUGCAGGUCUCACUUGGAGCCCCACUGUCUGAAUGGAAUAUAGACAGGUUAGGAGACCAUACCCUCAAAGCAGGUUUAGGAGGGCUGUCAUCUUCAUAUUUCUUCUAUCUCUAUUUAUCCCUCCCUCCAAAGGUCAAGUGCAGGGAAAAAAAAAUCCUGUUUACUUAACAUUUUUCUAUUUAAAAAAAAUUAUAGGACAAUACAUGAUUGUUAAAAUGUUUCAAACAAUAUAAAGGCAAAUAUAGAAAAGGCUGGUCAUUGGUAUUCCCUGGUGGCGAGUGGAUCUGGUGUUGUCACUCGUGACACAAGUUCAAUCCCUGGCCCAGGAAUUUCCGGGUGUCAUGGUCGUGGCCAAAAAAA
rnacentral:lncRNA from 1 species